UUAUUGAAAUAAACCUGAUGGGUUGUUGCUGGCUCUCAAGGGAGCAUUGUGCACACUUUGUCAUCUUUAUAUCUCCACCUGUGCACCUUUUGUAGACCCUCACCAGGUCUAUGUCGCUUCAUCUACCCCUAUGUAUGUCGAUAGAAUGUUGUGGCUAUAAAAAUAUCUAUACAACUUUCAGCAACGGAUCUCUUGGCUCUCGCAUCGAUGAAGAACGCAGCGAAAUGCGAUAAGUAAUGUGAAUUGCAGAAUUCAGUGAAUCAUCGAAUCUUUGAACGCACCUUGCGCUCCUUGGUAUUCCGAGGAGCAUGCCUGUUUGAGUGUCAUUAAUAUAUAUCAUCCCACUUCUUGAGUGGUUUUGGAUGUGGGGGUUUGCUGGCCUAUUGAAAGGUUCAGCUCCCCUGAAAUGCAUUAGCAGAAUGGCCUGCUCAUUCAUUGGUGUGAUAACUAUCUACGCUAUUGGGUGUGAGGCAGUUCAGCUUCUUAAAUGGUCCUCGGACAAUUUAUAUCAUAUGUGACCUCAAAUCAGGUAGGACUACCCGCUGAACUUAA
rnacentral:rRNA from 1 species